AUUGAACGCUGGCGGCAUGCCUUACACAUGCAAGUCGAACGGUAACGCGGGGCAACCUGGCGACGAGUGGCGAACGGGUGAGUAAUGCAUCGGAACGUGCCCAGUAGUGGGGGAUAGCCCGGCGAAAGCCGGAUUAAUACCGCAUACGACCUACGGGUGAAAGCGGGGGACCGCAAGGCCUCGCGCUAUUGGAGCGGCCGAUGUCAGAUUAGGUUGUUGGUGGGGUAAAGGCCUACCAAGCCGACGAUCUGUAGCUGGUCUGAGAGGACGACCAGCCACACUGGGACUGAGACACGGCCCAGACUCCUACGGGAGGCAGCAGUGGGGAAUUUUGGACAAUGGGGGCAACCCUGAUCCAGCCAUGCCGCGUGCGGGAAGAAGGCCUUUGGGUUGUAAACCGCUUUUGUCAGGGAAGAAACGCUCUGAGCUAAUACCUGGGACUCAUGACGGUACCUGAAGAAUAAGCACCGGCUAACUACGUGCCAGCAGCCGCCGUAA
rnacentral:rRNA from 1 species